rnacentral:rRNA from 1 species
CCUACGGGGGGCAGCAGUGAGGAAUAUUGGUCAAUGGGCGAGAGCCUGAACCAGCCAAGUCGCGUGAGGGAGUACUGCCCUAUGGGUUGUAAACCUCUUUUGUCGGGGAGCAAAAGCCGGACGUGUCCGGCUGUGAGAGUACCCGAAGAAAAAGCAUCGGCUAACUCCGUGCCAGCAGCCGCGGUAAUACGGAGGAUGCGAGCGUUAUCCGGAUUUAUUGGGUUUAAGGGGUGCGCAGGCGGAUUGUUAAGUCAGCGGUAAAAUCGUGGGGCUCAACCCCAUCCAGCCGUUGAAACUGGGGAUCUAGAGUGUGCGAGAGGUAUGCGGAAUGCGUGGUGUAGCGGUGAAAUGCAUAGAUAUCACGCAGAACCCCGAUUGCGAAGGCAGCAUACCGGUGCACAACUGACGCUCAGGCACGAAAGCGUGGGUAUCGAACAGGAUUAGAUACCCCAGUAGUC